rnacentral:misc_RNA from 1 species
GAUGAAGAACGCAGCGAAAUGCGAUAAGUAAUGCGAAUUGCAGAAUUCAGUGAGUCAUCGAAUCUUUGAACGCACAUUGCGCCCUGUGGUAUUCCGCAGGGCAUGCCUGUUCGAGCGUCAUUUCAACCAUCAAGCCCCGCUUGGUGUUGGGCCCCGCCCGCUGUGGCCGGCCCUAAAGACAGUGGCGGCGCCGCCUGGCCCUCAGCGUAGUACAUCUCUCGCUCCAGGGUCCGGUGGCCGCCUGCCAGAACCCCCCAACUCUGUGGUUGACCUCGGAUCAGGUAGGGAUACCCGCUGAACUUAAGCAUAUCAAUAAGCGGAGGA